GAUCAUUCUCCUAAUCCUCUCUGUAUUCAAGCUGGCAAACACUUGUCACCUACUUCUCUCGUUCGCUUUUCUUAUCUUAUUCUCCCAAUUUUCUUUCGUUUAAACCCUAACCCUAAUUUCCGCCUUCAUGUAGUAACAUAGAAUUCCUCACGAAAAAUAAAGAAAAAUGAUUCCUUUAGUUCCUUCCAUAUUUCUUCACGUCAUUUUCAUCUUCUUCGCGCUUGUCAACGGCGAGCAGGAGACUAUUUACGAUAUCCUAAAGGCCCAUGGGCUACCCACGGGGCUGCUUCCGAAGGGGAUAACCCGAUUUGAGUUCGACGAAACCGGCCGCUUCGAGGUUCAGUUGGAUCAAGCUUGUAAUGCUAUGUUUGAAUGCCAGUUUCGUUAUGAUAGGAACGUUUCUGGGACUUUGAAGUACGGGCAGAUGGGGGCCUUGUCUGGGAUUUCUUCUCAAGAGCUGUUUCUUUGGUUCCAGGUCAAAGGGAUUUGGGUUGAUGUUCCUAGCUCGGGCCUCAUUUAUUUCGACGUCGGUGUCGUUUCUAAGCAGUUUUCGUUGUCUUGGUUCGAAACGCCGAGGGAUUGUAUGGCGAUUCAGGAUGAUUCUGAAUCUGGUGAUUCGAUUGGAGAUGGCAAGUUAUUAGCUGAAGCAGUCGCGAAGAGUCCACGUGCGAAACAUCGAUAUGAACUUGAUCAUGGAGGUUUUGGGAGGAACGAGAUCUAGAAAGUUAGAAAGACGAAAGACGAAAGAAGUUGUUCAAUAGCUCAAUCAGGUUAGCCUUGAAGUGUGUUCUGGGGCCUCGCCCUCCCCCGCCUCCACUUUGUAAAUUUUGGUCAGAAUGUCUGCUGUGGAUGGUCUUCACGCCUCCAUCCUGUGUGCUUUGCUUGCAUUUCUUUCCUUUGUUUUAUAUAGUGCAGAAUCGUCGACUUGCCAAGUCCAGCUGGCUUCUGUCUAUGCGAGGCGAGCUGUUGAGGAGAAAAUGGAAGAUUGAAGAGCUAUUUUAUUGAUGACCUUGGUUAGUUUACAUUAUGGAAGAUAAAAUGGAUAUAGGAGCAUUUGGUCGGCGGUUUCAGGGGUUUGUGACCUUGUGUAGAUCAUGGUCAUUGGAUGGGGGUGUAUUUCUCCCUAAGAUUUUGAACUGGCAGUCUUGUUCCGAAGAAAAAAAAGUGUGUCUAUAUCGGCUGCAUCAGAUGGGUUUUAAUUUGCUAACAGACUACCGUUAAAUAUGUCUAGUAAGUUGAAUUUUGUCCCUAAUGUGCGCAACUUCUAUCAUGGACACUGUCUUUUGCAUGUUAGAUGUAGAUUCCUCCUUUGCUGUCAUUUGGAACACUUCGGUUUCAUUUUUCUGAUGGGAUUGUAGUUAAAAAGUUUGUUUCUUAAAAUUAUAAUCUCUCAGGUAACCAUGCAAUUUCUUUUUCCGUUAUUUGGUCCUGCAAGGUAUUGGUGCUGAUAUGUUCAAAUGUUUAGCAGUUAGAUGCUGGUUAUGAAAGAAUGGAAACUUUUUAUAUAGGCAUACUAUGAACUACUAAAACCUUUAUAUCAAAGUUGUGAUUUUCAAACCUUACCAACUUAGUACAGUCUGCAAAACAAUUCUUUAUUUAGUUUAGAAAGACAUGAAAUUAUUGAAAUGUUGGCAAUGGAGAAGGUUGAAUUUGGGUAGAAGAAUGAUGGGACGACAGGCCAGCUUGGCCUUGGCGGGGGUUGAGUUUAUACUAUACUACUAUAUGGCAUGUGAUGUGAUCAUUGAUCACAGUUCACAUGCCAUGCUACCAUGUUUUAGGAGGCAUUUUGUUCGUAUAUUGAUUUCCCCAUCGUGUUUGUGUUUGUAUAUCUUCAACCUACAUCUGUACUUAAGUAUCGGAUUUAUGAAAGGAUAAUAUAGAAUUAAUUUUGAUGAUUA